UACCAGCACCCCGAGUGGUCGGGACGAUUAUUGGGCCUAAAGCAUCCGUAGCCGGUCCUACAAGUCUUCCGUUAAAUCCACCUGCUUAACAGAUGGGCUGCGGAAGAUACUAUGGGGCUAGGAGGCGGGAGAGGCAAGCGGUACUCAGUGGGUAGGGGUAAAAUCCUCUGAUCCAUUGAAGACCACCAGUGGCGAAGGCGGCUUGCCAGAACGCGCUCGACGGUGAGGGAUGAAAGCUGGGGGAGCAAACCGG
rnacentral:rRNA from 1 species